rnacentral:rRNA from 1 species
AUUGAACGCUGGCGGCAGGCCUAACACAUGCAAGUCGAGCGAGCGGCGGACGGGUGAGUAAUGUCUGGGAAACUGCCUGAUGGAGGGGGAUAACUACUGGAAACGGUAGCUAAUACCGCAUACCAUCAGAUGUGCCCAGAUGGGAUUAGCUAGUAGGUGGGGUAACGGCUCACCUAGGCGACGAUCCCUAGCUGGUCUGAGAGGAUGACCAGCCACACUGGAACUGAGACACGGUCCAGACUCCUACGGGAGGCAGCAGUGGGGAAUAUUGCACAAUGGGCGCAAGCCUGACGAAGCAAUGCCGCGUGAGUGAUGAAGGUCUUAGGGUUGUAAAAUUCUGUCAGCGGGGAGGCGGUACCCAAAGAGGAAGCAACGGCUAACUACGUGCCAGCAGCCGCGGUAAUUC